UUCAUUAUUUUCUUUUGAUUGAAAUGACACUAUAUAAAAUUUUCAUUUGAGAGUUUCUCAGUUGUAUUUAGUUACAUAGCACAGUUUAGAAACUUGUCUGAGACUGACCUUAUCAGUAAUCUAACCGGCAAAGAUCAUAUCCGUGUGUAUGUGGUUAUACAUUUUUAUUUCAUUGGACUAACCCAGGACCAUUUCAGUGAUGAAAAUUGUGUGCCCUCUGGUUUAGCUGAAACAGUCCUGCACUUCUCAGAAACCUUGAAGUCUCCCAUAGUUGUAUAAAUUGGACAAUUUAGGAAUUUUAAACUUUAAAUGAUCAUUUGGUUCCUUUUCUAUUUUAUUUUUGUUAAUGCAACAGGACUUAAAUGAACUUUGAUCUUUGUUUUAAAGAUUAAAAAAAUUGUGUGUGUAUAUAUAUAUAUAUGAAUGUGUAUAUAUAUAUAUACAUACAUAUAUAUAUAUAUAUAUAUAUAUAUGACUCUUGAAGACACAUAGCUUUCACUACACUACAGGAUAUGAUCUCCAUGUAGCACAUCUACAACUGCAAAUUGAUUUUCCUUGAGUGCUUUAUACUGUUGAUUACAUCUCCAUGUAGGGCUGAAAAGAAUGACCCAUGUUUAUCUCUAUAACUGUGUUGCUUUUGAUGUCGUGUUGCUGUGCACAGAAAUGUGUGCGGCGAGGUCCUGCAUAUGGUCCAGAUGAAAAGCACGGUAGCCUUGCGAGUUAAGUACUGCUUCGAUUCAUUGUUUACGCUGGAAUUUUUUCUCCCCAUGGAAUGUAAGUAAAACUUAGUGUUUGUCACCAAUAAAUAGUAAUACUAAAUUUUUUUUGUUAAUUUAUUCUUAAAUGCCACUACUGCUAGGUUGGUCCCUCCCAACCUGCCCCCUAUACUUUUUUUAUUUUUAAGAAAAAAACUUUGUAAUGCUUGUGAUUCCAUUUGGGCAAAAUUCUGAAGCUCUGAAAUAACUUUAUAUCAAACCAUUGAUCAAUAAACAGCUACUAAUGAAUUUUUGGUCCUGUCGAGCAGUAACUGAAGCAGUAAGGGAAGAUGUGAGGGCAUGGAAGCAUGGCGUGGGGGGCACUGCUGCCAGUGAGGGGCAAGUGGGUGCCCGGGUGAAGGGAGGCGCCUCUCAUCUGAACCAGACGAUGUCACCCAAAGAAAUGACCGAGAGGAGAGAGGCUUCCUGGUCACUUCCCUCAGGCGGGCUCGCGCUUGGAAGAGUGAAGGUGAGGCGUUGCAUUCUAGUCUGGCUGAGGAGUGGGGCUGGUAGUUUUCUAUUUUUUCAUUUUAGAAUAUGCUCAUAAAGGUGGUUCACUAUAAAACCAGCCUGUGGACUGGACUGCAAGAAGCACCGGAAGUGAGGUUAUGGAAAAAUGCUACAGGGUAUGAGGGGACUCAGCAGGGCAGGGAUAAAAGCAGUGAAAGGAAAGGCAUUUUUUCCCUUUCCAAUCCUGGAUUCAGCAUUUCUGCAAGAAGCCUUGAUCCUCUUUAGUGAUAGAUGACAUUUAGCAACCAAGGUCUGGGUGCUCUGAGACCUCACUGCUAGGGAUGUGUUGUGUCUGGGCCCUCUUAGUGGACAGCUAGGAAGUGUAUCUGUGUGUACGUAUACACAUCUGCCGAUUUGUAUAUCUACUUAAAAGCCAUGUGUUGGUCCUGAUACCUCUGGCACCUCAGGGUUCUUCACAGCCUUCCCUGCUGUGUUUUUAGCACCUUUUCCCACAUCGAGAUUGUAGCCAGUGUCCCAGCCUUGCCAGCCACUCCCUCCACUCCUGCCCUGAGAUCUUGCUGCCUCUGCCCAGCUCUCGCCUCCUUGCCUCACAGUGUUUCCAACCGGUGACCCUCCACACUGUGAAGGGAAGAUGGAAAGGGCUGGACAGUACAGUCUUAGAAGUAAUUCAUGACUUCUAAUUGGCAGUCCAGUUGGCCCUCAUUGACAGCACUCCAAGAAGGGGAAGUUUCCUCUUAAUAUCUGGGAUAUUGUUAGGAAGGAUCUACAGGUUUCUUUGACAGAUUUUUUUGAAGGUGUAUUUUGGUUGCUUUGGAAAGCUGUCCAGAUGGGAUGUCCUUGACUAUUCUUACAUUGUAAACUCUCAAACUAGUCUUGCCUCUGUGAAUGCCCUGUAGCUGUCAUCGCCUGCUGAGGACUCACUCACCUGCAGUAUCUCUGUCUCAACAGGCUUUGAGAGAGCUGCCUGGGAAUCGAGUUUGCACUAAGUUUUAUCCCAACAUGAUCUCUAAGAGUUGCAAGAACUUUGGCUCAAAACUAGCCCUUGGGACAACAUGCAGUCCUGGUUUCCAGACUACAGGCAGAAAAGCAGACAUGAAGGCACCUGAGAGGCAGGUCUGAAAAAAUCAGAGCUGCGAGUCAGCCACAGUAAGACUAGUGGGUCUUAGGAUUUGAGGAGCAUCGAUCUGCAAAGGUGGAGCAGCUCCUGUUGUCUUUGGGGAAGACAGACUUAGGAUUCAGUCACCCCACAACAGGUGCACUGACAUUAGGUCAAUUUCGUUAAGUUCCUCUUAUCACAGGGAGAUAUUAAUGAGUAAGGAUGAUUUCCCCAUAGCAGGGUUUUGUUCUGGUUUGUAUUUUUAAAGGCCUUCUUGAGCUGAGCAAUGUGAACUGUAGCUCUUAAAAAAAGUGUCAUUUCUGAAUCUAGGUUUUGUUCCAUAGCUCACUGAGCUAAUGUGCCCAGCUUUGCAGGGUGAAUGCCCAGUGACGGAGACCUUGGCCUGGGUCCCAAGGUCUGAGUCUGGGGUUCUUGUGACCCAUGGGAAAAGACACCCGGCCAUUCCCAAGAAGCAGUAUGCUGCUGCUUGCUCUCUAGAAGCUAACAGGAGCUCAGCAGACUACAACCACCAGGAAAUAAACCUGAGGAUGGAGAUGUGUAGCUGUUUGUUUGUAUGAAACUUAACUUCAGAAACUUCCGACAUUAUCAUCUCUGGUUUAAGUGCUUAAACAUCUGUGUGCCCUUAAAAACAGACAAGAAAAACUUUCUAAAUCCAUAAAUAAUGGAUUGUUGAGCACUUAAGCACUGCUGGAUUGGCAGGGAGGAGUUAACCAAUUUUCUGAAAUAGGCUUUUAAAGAGAUGUGUGUGAAGAUGCAAGGCUAACUGAGACUGGAGAGGGUGUGGUUUCUAGUCAUCAAAGCAGCAGAGCUGUUUUCUUGGUAUUUGGCACUGUGUGCUUGCAGUGGUGUGUUUAAUGUAUAUAUACAAUGUAUAUAUAGAAUAUACAUAUGAAACUGUAAUUUUUACAACUCCAUAUUCUAAUCAGACUUCUUGGCAUACCAAUUUUUAUUAGGAAAAAUUAUACGUAAUUUGGGAAAUUGGUACUACUUUGCUUAAUAUGUGCUUAAUAACUUGUUUGAUAUUUUAAAAGUAAUUUCCUUUGUACAUUCUUUUACAAAUAUUUUCAUCAAAACCUACUUUGUUGGAAGUAGGCCUGUGAUGACAAAUUAUAAAGCAGUCUUUGUGUAUUGGUAAUUUUAAAAAGGACCUUUGAAAGUAAACUGUGAAAAAUUUGUAAGUUAUCCCUAAAAGCCCUCUAUCCAAACACAAACCCUAUCGUUUAUUUCCACCCCCUUUCACACGCACUUCUUUCAUGAUUGUGUCUGCAGUGCACAUGCAGUGGUGCCACCCAUUGUAAAGCUGAACAACCUGGAGCUCGGUGGUCCCAGAGAGGAUCAGGUAUGCCUGUCCCCUGCUGCCCUCCUACAGAGCCAGCUGGAUCCAGCCUUCAGCUCACUGUGGCUGUCCUCACUUCUUUAGGCUGCAGUAGAAGCAGUGACAGGGGUGUCUCUCUCUGACCUCUGACAUUGCUGAGCCUGGAUUCAGUAGUGGGCAGUUGGUGCCACUUUGGAGUGAGAUCUAACAGAAUCCUGUGCCGCUUCCUCAGACUCUUCUUGCCUGCCUUUUUAAUCGUGUAUUGGCUCCAGCUGCCAAAAGCCUGCCCCAGGAAAUGGCCUGAGAUUCCCUUGGGCCUGUGUUUUACUGUGUAAAUAUCGCCACCUCCCCACAGGUAACAUUUUCCCAAGGCCCCGAGCGAGGAGCAGCCUGGUGGACGGUGGAUUGGGUGUGGAUAAGGCUUCCGUGCUGUGAAGAGCGCCUGUAAAUAGAUCACCUCACGAAGGGCCAAGAUGCUGUAAUGUAGGUGGGUGAAUACCAACAUGUAAGUAGCGGCUCAGAGACUGCAGUGCGGUCACUGCAGAAGUCAGUACCUUCUGUUGUUCUUGGAGCCCAGAGACAGACUCUGAAGCCGCUUGCUCCCAGGCAGUUUCUAGAGUCCCACUGCUCAGGGUGGCUGAUGGAGAGGCAUUGGCCCAAUUCCUUGCUGGAGGCGUCUGGAGCCCUCCUCUCCCCCAUUCUGUCCUCCUGUCCAGCUGGCAGGGCUCUUCUCCCUGGGCUGCAGACCGUAGUCCACUUCCAGGUUUCUCCCAAGAAAACGUGGAGACAGAUGCCAUGACAACAGGAGUUCAGGUCCGUCUCAGCUACGGCUGGAGGGAGUGGUUGAGUUCUGGAAGAGGCCCACGAAGGCUGUGGCUCCUCUGGGCCCUAAGCUGCCACAGCCGUCUUCCGCCUGCCACCCUUUGUUAAUUUCCUAUCUUUACAAUAUGAUCCCUUCUGACUUCUGAGGCCAUGGAACCUUGGACUCUAACAGUGUUCACAGCUUGUGCCGCGCCUGCGUGUCUUUCUGAUUCGGUUUUUCUUGGCUUCUUCAUGAGCAUCAGCUCACUGGGAGGGCUGUUGGUUAAAAAGGCUGCUGGGUCCCUUUCCCAGAUGUGCUGAUGCCGUAGGUCUGGGGUCAAGAACGUGCAUUUCUAAUAAAGUCCCAGGUGAUGUAGAUGUACUUUGAGAACAACUGUCCUCAAGCAGUAACACCCAUGAAGUUGCUAGUGACUUUUUUUCUAAUACAAAACAUACAACUGUAAAUGAUACAUGCUCUUUGGAUGGUAGCCCCAAAUCCUUCGAAUCAUGUUGAGAAAUGCUGCCUUUGGCUAAACAGAGGGCAGGCAGCUUUGGCCUCACUGUUUUAGGCUCUGCACUGUGCUGUCCCAGCCCAGAGGCAGUCUGUCCUGGGGACUGAAGGCAGUGUCCUCAACAGCCUGUUAGGAGGAUGGGGGUUUGGAAUGCUCAACCUGCAGCCGCUGGCUUAGCUCGUUGCCGCCACCCUGGUUCUCCUUGGGAAGGUUUCUCUGCAGGCACCAUCGCAGAGACUUCUUCCAGCCUGAGAUCUACAGUCACGACGGAGGCAGCCCUCUGCGUGGGGCUGGCUCCAGCUCAACUUUGGCUCUCAGGAGUGGGACUGUAUGGCCUGCCUAGGACACUAAGCCCUGCUCUGUCUGAGAGUGGCAGGACCUGGUGGGUGCUAGGUUCCUCCCCACUGCCCUGCGGACCCACGAGGAGACAGUUUAGGAUCUGUCUUCGCAGCUGACGUCUGCUGAGAAAUCCAGUUUCCUGAGAGUAGCAUUUCCCUCUCUAGACUCAGGAGGAUUGACCCUUAACUGCUUGCCAAGGAGAUGGACCAUCUUUCCGACGUAAGGUAAACAAACUCUCAUUUUGCUUUCCACUCCUCCGCCGGUCAUCCUCCUUUUGCAUCAGGUCUGAGAAACUUCCCCCUGACCUGUCUGCGGUGGCUCUUCCUUCCACGUUGUCAAGUUUUUCUCUCACAUCAUCCAUAUUGUAAGGGAGAAAGUUGACUUCUCCAACCACAUGUGAGCUUUUGAAAAAGUCUUUAUUACCUGUCAUGCAGGAACCCCAGAGAAAGGUUGGUGGAUGAUGGUGGCUCUUCAUAGUGUUUACCUCACAGUCACGCCCUUAUUAACUGAUUACCUGUUUCUAACUUUUGCAAAGCCAUGGUAUAGUGGCCAAGUCCUGUGCUCCGGACGCCAUCCAUGUUGCCUGGGUUUGAAUCCCAGGUCCACCCAGCUGUGCAAGCUGGUAAUUUCCUCCACCUCUCAGGAGAGAAGGAUUUGGACCUGUCGCAUUCUCAGACCGAAGACUCACAUCUGGUUCUCAAGGUUCCAUGAAACACUGGAAGAGGGAGGCUCAGCUGGGAGUCCUAGCAAUUAACCUAAAGAAGCUGCAUGGCCCACGAGAGCCAGUGAGCUGUAAAAAGAACAUCUCAGAGAAGAGUGGAAGGGUUCCCAUGUAACACUCAGAAUGAAGAAAGCUAAUGAAAACCAGUCAGGAUCCGAAUGUAUCACAAGAUAAAAUGGGGCAUGGUUUGCUCUGAGCAACUGACAGAAUAUGAGGGCAAAGCCCAAUCCAUUUGACCUUGACUCUAAGAACAUUCUCUUUUGAUGGAUGCAAGAGUCAAACCUUGAGAGGAAGAAAUAUAAUCUCUACACACUGCCCAGCUCCAGCUCUGAAUACUAUUCACACCAUUGUAACAGUUCACAUACUGUAUCUGUUCUCACCUUUUAAAAGAUACCUACAGAUGAAGCACACAAAAGGACUACUGCACAGGAUGAAAAGCCAUCUGCUGUGACAGCGUGAAAAUGAAGGCAGAGGUGGACGGUGGGAGACGUCCUGUUAUCAGUACAGAGGACCCGACACGAGGGCCACAGUUGAUGGGACUACAGUUAGGGUUAUUAUUAAAGAUGAAGAGAACUGUAAAAGGUAGGCUGCAAGUAAGCGGUGUGAGCCAAGUUCUGAUUUGUCAUAGCAGGGAGUUAUGAAGUCUUACGGUUGAUGUAUCAAGAAGAUGAAGAAUUAAGUGGUAAAGAAUGAAGAUUAUAGGCAGUACUAGUUGAAAGGUGUUGCCUCUGGGAGGGCAGAGACUUGUUGCUCAGAUACAAGCCCUAUUUACUAAUUAAUUAGACUUUUACCACACGCAGCUAAUAGUCUGACUGAAUGCCACAUUCAUUAUGCCCCACAAAUAAAUGAAAUAACUAAGUAAGGCCCAGUGUGGGUAGGGAUGUGCUACAGAAAUUGGCACAACCUGGCCCAAUAAUUCCACCUUCAGGAAACAGACGUAGACAAAUAUUGGCAUAUAUAGGAUGUCCACCUCAAGAAUUAUUUAUAAAAUAAAAAAUCUCUACGUGUCCAACAGUGACUGUAUAACUUGGUAGUGGUAUAUCCAAAUGAUAAACACCAUACAUAACCACUGAAAAAUAUAGUUGCCGGCUUCCCUGGUGGUGCAGUGGUUGGGAGUCCGCCUGCCGAUGCAUGGGACACGGGCUUAUGCCCCGGUCCGGGAGGGUCCCACA